CGGGGCGUGGCUCAGUUCGGCUAGAGCGCGUGGUUUGGGACCAUGAGGUCGGAGGUUCAAAUCCUCUCGCCCCGA
rnacentral:tRNA from 1 species